rnacentral:lncRNA from 1 species
GAGAGAGAGAGAGAGAGAGAGAGAGAGAGAGAGAGAAACAGGUGAGGUUUCUCCUUGGAUUCACUGCUAAACAUCAGGGCUUGAAACAGAGACAAAGACAAUAAACCAAAAUGGCAAAAUGGGAAGUGGAAACAAAGAAAGGAUCCAAACUACAAGAAACAGAUGGAUGCAGCCGACAAGGCUCUGGAAAAUGUCAUCCACCCACCUGUAGGUGACACUACAAAGCAGUCCCCCUUCCAUGUCUUCUGAUGACAUGUUCUUCUCUUUUGUAUCAGUUGUUAUGGUCUAAUUUCUUAGCUACAGCAAGGUGUAUUUUAUUCUGUAUGAUAUCUCCUGCACUGCGGUACCCUCCCUCCAUGUUUUCUGAAGGCAUAUCCAUCUUUGUAUUGUCUGUCAGUUGUUAUGGUCCAAUCCCUCAGUUACAACAAUGUGCAGAUUAUUCUGUGCUCGUUCCUAUGGGAUUUAAUAGUUAGAUCUUCUAAAUAGUUGGGACUUAUGGCUUUGUUGUUGAUGUUGUACUAUCUUCAAAAGAUUUGUCUACAUGACCUUGUGCUACAUUAACUUGAUGCCAUCUGAGGACCAUGACUUCUCUGUUCAUGGAUGGCAACCAACCAACCGACCAUUCGUUCUGAGGGCAAACACUUGCCUCUUAACAUGUUGGAUUUCAGUAGGUUACCUGACAUACUGAUUGCAUGUAUUCUUCACUAGGUUGUUGUUUUGUUUCUCUAUUCAACUUGGUUAAACAUUGGUUUGAUCAUAGAAGGCAAUCCCUGUUAUUCUAGUCGCAUCAAGUUGGUAGAUGUUUGAAUUGGUAAUUAGCUGCAUUUCCAAGAAAUAAUUUGCUACAGGAAGUCUAAUUUUCAACUUGAACAAUAGCUCUCUGACUUGUCCAUUUGAAAUCUUCAUAAAGAGUUCAUGGAUAACUUGAACAUCAUCGGCUUUGAUAGGACCAAACUUUGAAUACUUCCUACUCUUUACUGUUAACUUUUUCAGCUGCUCAUGAUGUGACCCAGCCACCAUUCAUGGCCAUGUUCUGCAGACAAGCUUCUAGCAAGUAAAUUUUGUUUCUUGCAUGACUAGGUUCAGGAUCUCCAUCUGCUACUGGAAUCAUGGAAGCCUGUCAUUAGAUAGAACAAC